GUGCUUGCUUCAGCAACACACAUACUAAAAUUGGAAUGAUACAGAGAAGAUUAGCACGAUCCCUGUGCAAAAUGACACAAAGAUUUGUGAUGUUACAUAUUAAA
ensembl:snRNA Gm24374 U6 spliceosomal RNA